rnacentral:rRNA from 1 species
UAUUUAAAGGGUCCUGGCCUGCCCAGUGGAAACUUUUCAACGGGCCGCGGUUAUUCUAACCGUGGCAAAGGUAGCGUAAUCACUUGUCUCUUAAAUAGAGACUAGUAUGAACGGCUAAAUGAGGACAAGCCUGUCUCCUACAACCAAUCAGUGAAACUGAUCUUCCAGUCCAAAAGCUGGAAUACAACCACAAGACGAGAAGACCCUGUGGAGCUUUAAACCUACUACCAACAAAUUUACCUGGUACAACGUUUUAAGUUGGGGCGACUUCGGAAAAAAACAAAACUUCCGAGAACAGAACCACCACUUCUAACUAAGGCAGACAUGCCAAAAACAAACUUAGACCCAGUCACACUGAUCAACGAACCAAGUUACCCCAGGGAUAACAGCGCUAUCUUCUUCAAGAGUCCAUAUCGACAAGAAGGUUUACGACCUCGAUGUUGGAUCAGGACACCCAAAUGGUGCAGCCGCUAUUAAAGGUUCGUUUGUUCAACGAUUAACAGUCCUACGUGAUCUGAGUUCAAAAGCCGGAGAG